ensembl:lncRNA
GUCAGAUUUGGACAGCGCUUUCCUCAGACUUGACAGUCCACUUUUCUUUUGGUGGAAUCAUAGGCCUGGCCAAGCAAUAGGAGGAUACCAAGAAGUCGAUUGGGGUUCUCACUGGAGGUGGCAAGGGUAGGCCUAGGCGUCUUGGGAGGUGAGUGGCUGCUUGCACCAUACAGCACCCGCAAGAUGGAGCCUGGGGCUCGAUUGGAGUGCCACGCUGAGGAGGAGUGGUCUUGGAGCCAGAUAGUUGUGGCGAUGGCACCAGAGGAGAGAGUCAGAUGGGUCUUUGGAUGAGGAGUUUUGGCUUUGAGACAUGGUGGUAGACGAGCAAACCAAGAUGCUGAUAAACCGUCAGUGGAUAGACCUUGUUAAUGCAUCAUUUGGUACCUUUUGAGUCCCAAUACGAUAAUGUGGUAUAUUUUGUGUAAAAAUGGGCUAAUACUCUAAAUGUCCAGGUCUCAAGGAGAGGAACUUGCACAAAGCAUUGAUGCCAGAAAGCAGUUAUACAAGAAAACAGCCAAAUGAUACCAGACACACCAAUUCAAGGAAUUCUUUUUAUUUGAGAGGGUGGGUUGGGGGUGUUGGAAGAGGUAGCAGAAAUCCUUCUAAACUGUUUGAGCAAACAGAAAACAUGCGAUAUUAAUAAAGCACUGAAUUGAAAAGGUCUCCAGUGGGUGUUACGCAAAAUUCCCAUUACCGUUUCAAUGAUCACAUCCCUAACCAACACUGCUUCCUUGGCCCUUACUACUUCCCUGGCCAGUCCCUUGACCACUCCCCUGGCCUUGACCGCUCCCCUGGCCAGUCCCGCUUCCUUGACCGCUGCCCUGGCCAAGACCACUUCCCUGACCGCUCCCCUGACCAGUCCCUUGACCGCCCCCCUGGCCAGUCCCACUUCCCUGACCACUUCCCUGGCCUUGACCGCUCCCCUGACCAGUCCCACUUCCCUGGCCUUGACCGCUCCCCUGGCCUGUCCCUUGACCGCUCCCAAGACCAAAACCGCUUCCCUGACCACUCCCUUGACCGCUUCCCUGACCACUCCCUUGACCAUGACCGCUUCCCUGACCAAAACCGCUUCCCUGACCAAAACCACCCCCUUGUCCGCUUCCCUGACCACUCCCUUGACCAUGACCACUUCCCUGACCAAAACCGCUCCCUUGACCAUGACCGCUUCCCUGACCAAGACCACUUCCCUGGCCUUGACCGCUCCCCUGACCAAAACCACUCCCCUGACCGCUUCCCUGACCGCUUCCCUGACCAAAACCGCUCCCUUGACCAAAACCGCUCCCUUGACCAUGACCACUUCCCUGACCGCUCCCUUGACCAAAACCGCUUCCCUGACCAAAACCGCUCCCUUGACCACUUCCCUGACCGCUUCCCUGACCAAAACCGCUUCCCUGACCAAAACCACUUCCCUGGCCUUGACCGCUCCCCUGACCAAAACCACUUCCCUGACCACUACCCUGACCAAAACCGCUCCCUUGACCAAUCCCCUGACCAAAACCCUGGCCAAA